CCAAAUCGCUUAGUUUCAGCACUUUUCAAAGAAAACAACAGGCAGACAGCACACAACUGUACAGCACCUCAGCUUGCAGCAGCACAACCAAAGCAAACUUUGUGAAGAAAACACCAUCAGCUGCUCCCAGCGUCUAUAAGCUCCACUUCCACGAUGAAGAAGCCAAAAUUCACUGCAGGACUGCUGAGGGCCUCACCGUUUAGAGUCCUCCAGGCUGGCGACACCACAUUUACAGAGGAGCCAGAAGAAACAGAACACAUGAAAGCAUCCACAAAGGACUUCUUCAAAGAAGUUAAGAAGAAUUUACAAAUCCAGUUAAAUGAAGCGAAGAAGAAGAUGACGGCCAAAUGGAAGCAAGCAAAAAGGAAACUGAAACCUGACGUCAGCGAGGAAGAGCAGCCGCUUCUGUCCAACAUAGAGCUCCAAUAACAGAAGAAAUCCACAACCAACAAAUGAAAAUGCUGUGAAGUCCUCUUUCCCUCCUCGAUUCCUCCUCCCUCUCUUCCUUACUUUCUCCUUUCUUUUACUCACUCUUUCACUCACCCCUUCUCUACACCUUCUCUCAUCUCUCUCUCUCCUUCAUCCUCCUCUCCUCACCACUUUCAAGCAACACAGCAUUAAAUGAAUAUCAUCAAAUGUACAAAUUUCAAAUC